AAUACUUUUUAUUUAUUUUAUCCGCGCGGUUUUUCCUUUAUCACGCGUAUAUCACUGCUACAAGUUUCACCGAGUGACAGCACCGACCUUCAUUCUGGCAUAUUCCCUCCAUUCUUCGUCUCUCUCGCUCUCCCUCUCUCUGUUUCUCUGCAAACCCUAAACACUGCACUCCUUAGUUUCCAAAACUCUCUCUUCUCUGCAACGACUGAGUGAGCGAGGCGAGUAUUGGGUUGAGUGGUUUAAAAAGCAACGAGUUCUCGCUCUGUUUGCCUGCAACGAUCGAGUGGUUUUCUCUUUCUGGGUUCAAGAAGGAGCGAAUUUUCUCUCUCUGUUUCUCUACAACCAUUUUGUGAUUUUUGGGUUCAAAAAGCAACGAGCGAUUUCUCUCUCUCUUUCUCUCUGUGUGCAACGAGCGCAUUUUAGGUUUU
rnacentral:lncRNA from 1 species